ensembl:lncRNA
GGGGGUGUAACAUGACCAUUAUUGCCUUAAACAACAAACAACAACAGGAAGAUUCCCUUUUUAACGGCAGUGUCCACGCUGUAGAUGUACCUAUUUUAAGAAUUCCCUCAAACCUUCAGCUUCCUAAUCUACACACAGUUAAUUGGUUCAUAACCGGAAUCUUCAUCAAGACUGUCUUCUUAUGUCAGUACUCCUUUUGUAUAUCCUGCAAACGUGUUUCGAUGGACGUUAUUUAAGACUCGCGUCUCUCCUGCUAGAAAUCACUGGAUAUUUUUCCUCCUCCUCCAUUUAAAUGCUUUCCUUAUUAUUAUUAUUAUUAUUAUUAUUGUUAUUAUUAUUGUUAUUAUUGUUAUUAGGAGGCGGGGUCAGGAAGGGGAUGUGGUAUUAAUGAUCUGUUCAGCACGGUGAAAUUGCACGGGUGCAGUGUUUGUGAUUCACACCAAAACGCAUCUGUACACUCUGUGCAAACAGAUCAGCGCACAGAGCUUCAUCUAUGAGCGCCAUCGAUCCCGUCGUUUCGUCGAUCAGUAAUUAUUCGAGCCGAGUCUCUGGUGUAGUUGCAUUCGGGAACUUUGAGUCCAACGUUCGUCUCCGUGAACUUCACUGGAAAAUGGUGAGUAAGAAAAUGAGCUGUUUUUUUGUUUUUGUUUUGUUUUAAGGAGCUAAGAGCAAAACCUGACGAACAUCCUGUUACAUGUUUGAGUUUCUUUUCUUUUUUUUCUCUUCCCCUUCUCCUUUGUAACCGAACUAGCAGUGACAUCAGCGCAGCAGACAACCACUGACAGCAUUAACAAAAAUACACCAUCAAGCACCUGAAUCUUUCUAAGUAUUUUAACAUAAACAUGUUGAACGUGUUUCAAAGCGGUGUUUCCUUUUUACGUCUCGCAUGAUUUUUAACGUCCGGGAGAGUGACGACUGUUUACCCGAGGUAGGCAGUAGCUGAAGCUCUUUCAUCCCAAACUACGUAAUGACGUAUUAAGUCCAGCUUUGUUUCUGAUUUUAAAUCCGAUUCUCUCCCAGCGCUCCAGUGGUUUUAUUAUAAAGCACGCAGAAGUUCACGUCACACGCCCGUAUCCACCGAGUCAGUCUGACACUCGUCUUGUGAAGGAUCUUGGGGGGGAGGAAGCAGAUGUUUUAUGGCUGCACACAAUGUCUUUUAGUUGAACGGUGGAUCGGAUUGUAACGUCUCGCCGCAGUCUCUCGGGCAUGUUCGGUCCUGUUUCGCCGGGUGUGUUGGUGAGAUCGAGAGCAGCAGGUGACAUGAAAAUAAUAAAAAAGCAAAGCUCAACACAACUCAAGCUACUGGAAAAUUUUUUUUUUUUUUAAAUUUUGGUGGAGCUGACCUGUUUUCUUUUUGCUUGUGUUUUUUUUUUAUUAUUAUUAUUUAUUUUUUUGUUGUUUUUGUUUUUUCUUUAAACUCCUGUAACUCUCUUGUCUUCAGAACAUGUUUAACUGUGCUACCACAGCCUGAGCUUCAUCUGUCCACUUCAACAUUAAAAAUAAAAUAAACAAAAAACAAUAAAAAAAAAGUUCACGAGGGAAUAACUAUAGCGUGAGCAGGGCAUUUUGUUACAGCGACAUGUUAUUUAACCAUAAUGGCUGAGUGUAACCCUGAUUAUCUCAUUAAUAAUAUAUGGAGAACGGUAUUCAAACGCCCAGAAAGAUUGAUUUACCUUUCGCUAAGUGUAAGUCGUGUAGUGAUUUGAAUCUUCACUUAAACACUUUAUGUUGGGGAUGGGGGGGGGGGUAAUGCACUGUUAGCAUGCAUUGGGGUUUUCUGUUUUUUUUGCUUUUUGUUUUCCAUCGUGUAAUUUUGACCUUGUACAUACAAUUUGUAAACUUGCAUCAAGUUUAUGAAUAAAGAAUUUUAAGAAAUAUCACUUUUUUUUCUUCUUCUUUUUUUUUCCUUUUUUUCCCCCCCUUUCUAGGUAUUGCAUUUUAUUUGUCCACUAGAUGGCAGUAGGGUCUCAUUUAAAAGCACGCUGGUUUGAAACACACAUUAGGUGCUUGUCAUUGCGCCUCAUUGUUUACUUUCCUCGUGCCCGAGCUCUCCUUCGGAGGAAGCGAGAAUAGGAUGCAAGAGAAUGAAAUGAGGAUGGCAGGAAUUGAACAAAUUUACUAAAUAAGAUGUUCUUGCUCACUGACGCGUCGCUUUAAACCAAUUUUAUUGGAUUUGUAGCUGAAUCAUGCAUCUGCGUAUACAUGACAGUAAUUAGGCACAGUAGAAUCUUUAAUUAAAAGAAUAUUUCAUGUCUACAUCGCAUGCGUAAAUGUUGCUGUUUUAGCCUAAAUGAGAUCUUGCUCAUUACCCUGAUGUCCGUUUUUUGGCAUAUUAAACUGACUUUUAUUUGUACACUUUGUUUGUUUGGUUUGUUUGUUUAAUUAAGACUAUUUAUUUUCUGGUUUUGGUUUCUGUUAUCGUAUCAUUUACUUGUUUGUUUUGUUCUGGCAGCGGUGGAGUCGUUCUAUACCACCGGCUUACAUCGUGCGAAAAAAUAAAUAAUUGAAACUUGCAUGUAGGAAGCACUUGUAUAUCCUUGAUCCGAAAGCUUCCUCUCUCCUCGUUUCUUGAUUCCUCCCAGCGCUUCUUAAGAGUCGGUACAUCUUGAAUGAUGGAGGACUUUGAUUGGUUGAUUUUUGGGUCAUGGAUUGAAGGACACAGGAUCAAGGAAUCUCGGAGGCAUCAGUUAAGCUGUUUCGGAUCCACUCGGUAACUUAAAUAGUUGCAGCAAGAUACUAAUAUACUAGUGUUGGGCAAUUAAUCCGUUAAAGCCAACAUGAAAAAGGACUUUUACAUCUGCUCAGAUGUUAUGCGAUGUAAAUAAUGCCUGCUUGGAUUAUGGUUUAACGUCAGGAUUUGAUUAGAUUACGAUGGUAGCGUCACCUACUUGCGUUCCCAGUUCGGUCGUGAGUUCUCACUGUGUUCACGUGGGUUUCCUCCUGGUUCUCCGGUUUCCUCCCACCUCCCCAAAACAUGUCAGUAGGUGAACUGGCUUCAGUAAAUUUCCCCUAGGUGUGAAUGUGUGCCCGCGGUGCUCAGUGUUAAACUGGCAUCCCACCUCACACCCAGCAUUCCCAGGAUAGCUUCUGGAUCCACUAUGACUCUGCCCGGAAUAAAGCACUUAGUGAAGAUGAAUGUACGAGUACUUGUUUCUGCCUACGUUUUAUUGAUGAUGGCGAAAAUGAGAAGAGUUUAGAGGUGGGUAAAAGCCACUGCGUUUUGAUUGAACAUGCCAGGGAAAAGAGGAAUGUUCUUUCUUGCCCACCUGUAAUUAUUCCACAAUAAAAUAUUCUUCAGAUUGUUUUUAUUGUUCGUGAAGCUCCCAAGAAAAGAGAAUGGUCCGGGGUCUGAGCGUACGAACGUGCUCUUUACCUUCACCUCUUGUAAAGGAAGAAUACUCCAGACACCUGUACAAUGCUCUAAGACGGCAUCGAGAUAGCAGCCAUUUUGUAGCAUGUUGACUCUUUAAUUAAAAUGUCUUUGAGCUUCUAGUGCGGAAUCUCAGCUUGAGUCUACGCGUAAUUAUGUAUAUAGCGUUUGAUUAAUUUUAUAUAUUCAGUCCGCUCUGUUUCAGGGAACCAAGAGUAACUGGGCAGGUUCAUUAAGUUUAAAGUCCAAUUAUUUUGUAUUAUUUUGUCGCAAAUGAUAAACACGCGGUUAACUUAUACUGGCAGCUUGCGUUCCCAUAUUACCAUGCGCCACGCAUGCUUUGGCUCGUGAGUAGUUGCACAUGUCGCAUUUCUU